CCUCUCCCAGAGCACACAGCACAGACAGAGAGGAACCAGAUCAAAGUGGACACUGCUGGAAUCCUGCUCCGAGAAUAACUUCAGGGGCAUCUGCGGGGAGAAGAAUCAGGUUCAUGGGGCAUUGGAUUCCAGCAGAUCCAUCUCCACCUGGCUGAGUUGGACUGAUGGCUGGACUGCAGCGGGUUGACCUGCAGAUACGUUAUGAAGACUGAAACUUCGACACCGAAGUUUUGCAGAAGACCACAAGAAGUGAAAGACUGCUGGAAACCAGCAGACCCACCAAGAUAUUUUGAGCAUUCAACCUAUAUUCAUCCAGUAAAACCAGGCCCAGAAGAAUGUAUUUUCCUCAA